UACGUAGGGCGCAAGCGUUAUCCGGAUUCACUGGGUUUAAAGGGUGCGUAGGCGGUUUUUUAAGUCAGUGGUGAAAGCUCGCAGCUUAACUGUGUAACUGCCAUUGAAACUGAAAGACUUGAGUAUAAUUGAAGUGGGCGGAAUACAUCAUGUAGCGGUGAAAUGCUUAGAUAUGAUGUAGAACACCGAUUGCGAAGGCAGCUCACUAAAUUGUAACUGACGCUGAGGCACGAAAGCGUGGGGAGCGAACAGG
rnacentral:rRNA from 1 species